rnacentral:rRNA from 1 species
GCAACCCUCGCCUCUAGUUGCCAGCAUUCGGUUGGGCACUCGUAGAGGGACUGCCGGCGACAAGUCCGGAGGAAGGUGGGGAGUGACGUCAAAUCAUCAUGCCCCUUAUGACCUGGGCUACACACGUGCUACAAUGGGCGGUACAAAGGGCUGCGAACCCGCGAGGGGGAGCGAAUCCCAAAAAGCCGCUCUCAGUUCGGAUUGCAGGCUGCAACUCGCCUGCAUGAAGCCGGAAUCGCUAGUAAUCGCGGAUCAGCAUGCCGCGGUGAAUACGUUCCCGGGCCUU